UCUGGUUGAUCCUGCCGGAGGCUACCGCUAUUGGAGUUCGAUUAAGCCAUGCGAGUCGCGAGAAAUUAGAUUCUCGGCGUACCGCUCAGUAACACGUGGGUAACCUGCCCUAUGCUGGAUAAUAACCUCGGGAAACUGAGAAUAAUGAUCCAUAGUUCACUACGCCUGGAACGGUGAGUGGAUGAAAGCUCCGGCGGCAUAGGAUGGGCCUGCGGCGUAUCAGGUUGUAGGGGGUGUAACGUACCCUCUAGCCCUCUACGCGUACGGGUGUUGGGAGACAUAGCCCGGAGAUGGAUUCUGAGACACGAAUCCAGACCCUACGGGGUGCAGCAGGCGCGAAAACUUGGCAAUGCGAGAAAUCGUGACCAGGGAACUCCAAGUGCAUCGGGUAAGACCGGUGCUUUUCUUGACUCUAAAUAGGUCUUGGAAUAAGGGGUGGGUAAGGACGGUGCCAGCCGCCGCGGUAAUACCGGCGCCUCAAGUGGUAGUCGCUUUUAUUGGGCCUAAAACGUCCGUAGCCGGUCUGAUACAUUCGUGGGUAAAUCAACCAGCUUAACUGGUUGAAUUCUGCGAGGACGGUCAGACUUGGGACCGGGAGAGGUGUGGGGUACGCUCAGGGUAGGGGUAAAAUCCUGUCAUCCUGAGCGGACCACCUGUUGCGAAGGCGCCACACUAGAACGGAUCCGACGGUCAGGGACGAAGCCUAGGGGCACGAACCGGAUUAGAUACCCGGGUAGUCCUAGGUGUAAACGCUGUGGACU
rnacentral:rRNA from 1 species